rnacentral:tRNA from 2 species
GAAAUAAAUAAAAAUAAGCUUCUAACUUAAUAAUAAAGCAUAAAUUGUUUAUAUUUCU